CCGCAGAAUCAAGUUGCGGUCACGGUCGAGUCAGAGUGGAGUCCACCGCCUGCCACAAGGCUCCGCUCCAUUUCCGCCGCCAGCCAUGGCCGCCGCCGCUACCGCGCCGCCGCCAUCUUCCAGUACCGGGCGCUGCUCCUCUCCUGCACAGCGCGAGACUAGCUGAAGAACACGCUAAAGAAGGAGUUCAAGAAAACUCACAAUCACAUCAAGGCCUAUCAGAGCCGUGGGCGGAAAAUAGGAGAGGUGGUGCGCCAGCUUGACGAUGAGCGCUGUGAGUGUAAAGGUAGCGUGGGCCAUCGGCACGAGAUCGUUGGCUGCAGCAGUAAGGUGAACAAGAAAAACUUGACUCCAGACAAACGGGUCUGUCUUCACCCGAAGACACUUACAAUCAUGCGUGCACUUCCGCACGAGGUGCACGAGGUGAAUCUUUACUGUGCAACAUGCUUCGUGAGGAUCCAGGGAAUGUCUGCUUCGUGAGGAUCCAGGGAAUGUCAGCUACUCUGCUGCCGGAGGGCUUUCAAAUCAGAUCAGGGACCUUAAGGAGUUCAUAGAGUUUGCACUCAUGAACCCUGAUUUGUUCUCCCGAGUUGGGUUUAAGCCACCUAAGUGCUCCUUUAUGGCCCACCUGGGACUGGGAAGACGCUGCUUGCAAAGGCGACAAGUAACAAAGACGCCAAGUUCAUGAAGAUAUGUCAUAUUAGACUGCCCCCCUCCCCCGCCCCAUUAUUUAUAUCUAUGUUCUUACUAAUUUACAUUGGGUGCAAAAGGUUGUCUCAAAUGCUAUUGUCACUCCGUACGUUGGUGAAAGUUCUCGGAUGAUAAGGGAAAUGUUUGCCUAUGCACGUGAUAAUCAGGUAAGCCUCUCAUUUUUUGACCAAUCACCGAGCACGGUGUGGGAGAGAGGAUGCCAACAUGAAUUUCAUUACUUCAAAGAGAACCAAAGAGUUCACAAGCUGCACAUCAGUGUGAGAGAGGUUGUCAAUCGCACCAUGGCCUGCAACAUGAUUAAUUAAAGGGGCAAAAAUCAAUAUACAAAACCUAGCUUCAUGUCUGUUAUAAAAACUCCAGAGUAUAUAUAACAAAAACUAGCUUUCGGGUUGAUUAGUUCUAGUUUCUUCUUAUCAACUACGAACACAUAUAGCUUGUAUGACCCUAAUUUGGUAGGUACUAGGUUAGGGUGGAGCGUAUCAUUACAACAGAAAUGUACUAUAAAUAAAGAGUGCAUGCCUUACAUUUUAAUGGAGCAAUCCCUGUUUAAUUAUUACAUAUACCUCAACUUUUUUGCUAUGUUUUAUUUUCUCUGUCCAGCCAUGCAUCAUCUUCAUGGAUGAAAUUGAUGCAAUAGGAGGAACAAGACUUAAUGAAGGUUGAAGUACUGCUUUGUGAGGUCCAGAGGACGCUCAUGGAACUGCUAAACCAUUUAGAUGGGUUUGAUAAACUUGGGAAGGUAUGUUUAUUUUGCUGGAUUUGAUGACUUAAUGUGCAAAAUGAGUUUUUUUGACGUCACAUUCAACUCUGUAUGCAUGCACCACAUUUAUAUUUGGUAAUUUCCACUGAUUAUAUUGGUUUCCAAAUACCUGUUUGAUAGUUUUACAUGCUUAAAAGCUGCACCGUUGUUUCUGAGGUUUGUUAUUUCCUUAUCUCAAGAUGAGUUGAGCUUCUCACGAAAUUAAUUGCAGUAGUUUAUACAAGCCAUGUGACAUACUGAAAUUACUUUCCUGAGAAGUUCAACUCUCUUGAUAUUAGGAAAUAACAAACCUCAAACACAACGGUGCAGCUUUGAAGCAUGUAAAACUACUAAACAUGUAUCCGUAAACCAAUAUAAUAAGUGAAAACUUCCAAAAAUGAAUGUGGUGCGCGCAUGUAUGCGCGGUUGAAUGUGGCAUCAAUAAAACUCAUAUUGCACACGCAGUCAUCAAAUCUAGCAAAAGAAAUAUACCUUCCCAAGUUCAUGAAGCACAUCUAACUAGUUUAGCAGUUCCAUGAACGUUCUCUAGAGACCUCACGAUUAGCAGUACUUGAACCUUCACGAAGUCUUCUUCCUCCUAUUGCGUCAAUUUCAUCCAUGAAGAUGAUGUGCAUGGCUGGACAGAGAAAAUAAAACAACAGCAAGAAAUGUUGAGCUAUAGGUAAUAAUUAAAAAGAGAUCACUCCAUUAAAUAAUGUUAGGCAUUCUUUAUUUAUAGUACAUUUCUUUUGUAAUGAUACACUCCACCCUAAUCUAGUACCUACCAAAUUAGAGUCAUAACUGCUACUCCCUCCGUCCAACAAAAGAUGUCUCAAGUUUGUCAAAAUUUGGAUAUAUCUAGACAUGACUUAAUGUAUAGAUACAUUCAAAUUUGGUCAAAGUUGAGACAUCCUUUGUUAGAUGGAGGGAGUAUUUGUGUUCGUAGUUGAUAAGAAUAAACUAAAACUAAUCAGCCUAAAAGCUAGGCUUUGUUGUGCUCUGGAGUUUUUCUAACAGACAUGUAGCUACCUUUUGUAUUUUUGUUUUUGCUUGUUUAAUUAAUCAAGCCUGCUGCUAUCAGUGUGAAGGUGGGCACUUUCUUUUCAGGAUUUAGUGUGUGUGUGUGCUUGUUCUUAAGGGAACGUGCAAAUCACCCAAUCAUAUCAGGAUUGUUACCCGCCACUGGUGCGACUAACAACCUAUAUCGCACUGAUGUGUAGCUCGUGAACUCUUUGGUUCUCUUUGAAAUAAUGAAAUUCACGUCAGGAUACUCCGCCCAACCACCCACAUGCACACAUCGUGCCUGAUGAUUGGUCAAAAAAUGGGUGGUUUACCUGAUUAUCACGUGCAUAGGCAAACAUUUCUCUUUUCAUCCAAGAAGUUUCACCAACGUACGCAGUGAUAAUAUCACUUGAGACAACCUAUUCAGACAAUGUAAAUUAGUAAGAACAUAGUUAUAAAUACAGGGGCGGAGGAGGCCGGGGGACAUUCUAAUAUGACAUACCUUCCUGAACUUGAUGGCUAUGUUAUUUGUAAUAGCCCUUGCACGCAGCGUCUUCGCAGUCCUAGGUGGGUCAUAAAGGAGCACUCCCUAAAAUAAGCCAAGUGGAUGUUCUUAAUGCUGACUAUUUUAAUAGCUCAUGCACAUUGAAACAAAGAAAUGCAAGUGGCCGGCCUUGAUGAAUUUUACAUUAGGUGGCUUAAUCCCAACUCGGGGGAACAAAUCAGGGUUCAUGAUUGGAAACUCUAUGCACGCCUUAAGCUCCCUGAUAUGAUCUGAUAGCCCUCCGACAGCAUAGUAGCUGACAUUCCUGGUCUUCACGAAGCAUGUUGUACAGUAAAUGAUUCACCUAGAGAAACAUAAUGGUAAAUGAUGUCCUCAAUUGCAAUGGAUAACAUCCAUUCGAUUCUUGAUUGCAACUAACGCAGAAAAGGAAGGAAAAAACAUAAUUAAUAAAGGACGCUGGCAUACAUUCAGUGUUCUCAAACACAGUAAUACCUCGCCUGAAGUGCAGGGAUGAUUGUAAGUGUCUUCGGGUGAAGACAGACCCACGUGUCUGGAGUCAAGUUUUUCCUGUUCACCUUACUGUUGCAGCCGACGAUCUCUUGCCGAGGAGCAACGCUACCCUUGACAAUAACUGCAAGUGAAACAAUAGUGACUUGUCAGCAAGGGGAAAGGGGUUGAACAGAAGAAUUUCAAUGGCAGAGAAGAGAAAAACGAGGCAGGUUGGAAGCUGUGAUUUUACACUCAGCGCUCAUCGUCAAGUUGGCGCCCCACCUCUCCUAUUUUCCGCACCACCUCACUCACAAUAAUCUGUGCUGAGCGUGGCUACGCCAGGAAUGAAGAUUUGAUGAAGACAGUUAGGAAACUUAGCGACACAAAGAAGCUGGAGUCUAGCGCCCAAUACAAUGCUAACUUUGGUAAAGACUAGAGAUGACAAGGCUGAUUAACCAGCUUAUAUAUCUUCUUUGAUGCGAAUUAUGUCAAUUUGUGCAUUUGAACAAGAAAAUCAUGAUGAAAUGCUAGCGCCAAUUCUCGUCAAUGAGAGAUUUGCGCCCUGGCCGGCCUCAUUUUUGGGAACCAUCGAAUACUUGUGCACCCAACCCAACUAGUUAUUGGUCUGGGGAUAAAACUGAUUAAUUCGUACAAACCCUAGUUUUUGCCUGGACUCUCUUACUAUCAGAAGGCAUCCUGAUCAGUAGAUAAAAUGGAAGGUGUUAGACUGAAAUGAUCUGUCUCCUGUUAUGCUUGCUCUGCAUUUCCUAUGUUAUCUUUUGUGUGCUACAUUUCCUUGAGCAUGUGUAACUCAUUGCAGAUCAUGAAAUACAUGAUCUCCAGAAACCAUAGCUGUACAUGCUACCAAUGGACGAACAUUUCCAAUAUAUAUAUUUUUUACAAACA